GUCGUGAUAGCUCAGUUGGGAGAGCAUUAGACUGAAGAUCGUAAGGUCUCUGGUUCGAUCCCGGGUCGUGGCA